UUUGGGGUUUGGAAUAGAAAGAAUAGAUUGAGGUUAAAGGGAAGAAGGGUUUGAGGUUUCGAAUAUAUGAAGUAGAAGAUAAGGAAGAUGGGGUUUGGGGUUUCGGAUUUUAGGGAUUUAAACAUAAUCCUCGUAAUUUCCUCGUAAGAUAACGAGGAAAUAACGACGAAAAGAACGCGAGACUCGUUAAUUCCACGUAAACAGAAAUCGUCGUAAAUACCUCGUAACCGAAAAACAGGGGCCUCGCGAUUUCCUCGUAAAUAAUAACACGGGCCUUUCUAUUUCCUCGUAAAUGAACGACCAAUAUUUGAAAAAAGAAGAGAAUAAAAAAGAAGAGAAGAAAGAUACUGGAAUCAUAGGUGGGAAGAAACAAGGCGAGAACUACGUAAGUCUAGCCUUGUCUCCGCCCACAUGUGUUCGCGUAUCUUUCUCUCCUUCUAUUAAUUUGAGAAACACACUGGUGAGUAAUUAUCUCUUAUUUGAGAAGAAAAUCGGUGAGUUUAU
rnacentral:lncRNA from 1 species